UACGUAGGGGGCAAGCGUUGUCCGGAUUUACUGGGCGUAAAGGGCGCGUAGGCGGUCAGCACAAGUCAGUUGUGAAAUCUCCGGGCUUAACCCGGAAAGGUCAACUGAUACUGUGCGACUAGAGUGCGGAAGGGGCAACUGGAAUUCUCGGUGUAGCGGUGGAAUGCGUAGAUAUCGAGAGGAACACCUGCGGCGAAGGCGGGUUGCUGGGCCGACACUGACGCUGAUGCGCGAAAGCCAGGGGAGCGAACGGG
rnacentral:rRNA from 1 species